ACACUUAGCAAAGGAUAUCUCGGCUCUUUCAUCAAUGAAUAACAUAGUGAAAUGUGAUACUUAGUGUGAAUUAUAGAAUCUCGUGAACCAUUGAGUCUUUGAACGCAAGUUGCACCCUAAGUCAUUAGGUUGAGGGCACGCCUACCUUGGUGUCAUACAUCAUCAUCCCUAACCCUCUGCCCAUCAAGCUCUAGGUAAGGGGGCGGAAGUUGGCCCCUUACGAUCUCGUCAAUCAUGGUUGGCCCAAAAGUGAGUCUUUGACAACGAUAGCACUAUUACCAUCGGAGGUAAAGCUCAUUGCAUGCCUUGUUUCCAAUGAUGCACACUAAUUGUCCAUCCAGACCCUAUCGAAUCCCCUAUAUCGUAACCAUAGGUUAGGUGGUAUUACCCGUUGAGUUUAAGCAUAUCAAUAAGUGAAGGAAAAGAAACUUACUAGGAUUCCCCUAGUAAUGGUAGGUGAACCAAAAAGACCCAAGCUUGAGAAUUAGGUGCUUAAGCGUGCGACUUAUACCCGACCAUUGGGGCAAAAGCCAAGCCUUAUUGAAUUGGAAUGCAUGGCAUUUGUCACAAAAUUCUGGGCACGAGCUUGGGCAGAGCAGUUGUUAGUGCAUAUUUUGGUGGUAGUAGCAAAUAUUCAGAUGAGAACUUUGAAGGCUGAAAAUGGGAAAGGUUUCAUGUGAAUGGCACUUACACAUGGGUUAGUCGAUCCUAAAAGAUGGGAGAAGCUUGUUCAAAAGUGCAUCCAGUGCGAGCUUUGACAAGGAAUCAAAUUAAAAUUCUUAAACCUAGAUGCGAUGGCUAAUGGUAAUGUUAGAGAGUCAGAAAAUGUUGGCGAGGGCCUCGAAAAGAGUUAUCUUUUUUAUUUAAUAGCUUGUCUACCCUAGAAAUGGCUUAGCUAGAGGUAAGGUCUAGCGGUUGGAAGAGUACGGUAUGUCAUGUGAUGUUUGAUGUGCCCCCAGCAGCCUUUGAAAAUCUAGAGGAUUGAGUGCCAUCUGUGUUCAAUCAUACUCAUAACUACUUCAGGUCUCCAAGGUGAAUAGCCUCUAGUUUAUGGAACAAUGUAUCCAAGAGAAGUCAGCAAAAUAGAUCUAUAACCUAGGGAAAAGGAUUGGCUUUAAGGGUUGGGCAUGGGGGUCCUAGUCCUAAGUAUGACAACUAUCAGUGUACUACUCGAGCUACUCCUACAAUGAGGUGGGUCUUUACAUGCCAAUUAGGGGACAGACUGGGAAUAGCUCCCUUGAGGGCCUUUCUCAGGUGACAAAUAGUCAACUUAAAACUAGUAUGGAUAAGGGGAAUUUGACUGUUUAAUUAAAAUAAAGCAUUGCGAUGGUCCAUACAGAUGCUCAUGCAAUAUGAUUUUUUCCCAGAGCUUUGAAUGUCAAAAGUGAAGAAAUUCAACCAAGUGUGGGUAAACAGCGGGAGUAACUAUGACUCUUUUAAGGUUGCCAAAUGCCUCAUCAUCUAAUUAGUGAUGUGCAUGAAUGGAUUAAUAAGAUUCCCAUUGUCCUUGUCUACUAUCUAGCAAAACCAUAGCCAAGGGAAUGGGUUUAGUAGAAUCAACAGGGAAAAAAGACCUUGUUGAGCUUAACUCUAGUUUGAUUUGGUGAAAUGACUUGAGAGGUGUAGGAUAUGUGGGAACCCUCAAGAAAAAUUGAAAUACCACUACUUUUAAUGUUAUUUUACUUAUUCCAUGGAUUGAAGGUGGGGUAUGUCCCCUUUUUUUAGACCCAAGGCCAACCUUAGUCAAUUGAUCUGGUAGAAAACAUUGUUAGGUAAGGACUUUAGCUGGGGUGGCACAUCUAUUGAAAGAUAAUGCAGGUGUCCUAAGUUAAGUUGAAUGAGAAUAGAAAUAUCAUAUGGAACAAAAGGGUAAAAGUUCAUUUGAUUCUGAUUUCUAAUACGAAUAUGAACCAUGAAAGCAUCGCUUAUCGAUCUUUUAGACCUUCAGAAUUUGAAACUAGAGGUGUCAAAAAAGUUCCCACAAAGAUAACUGGCUUGUGGCAGGCAAGAGUUCAUAGCAGCUUGCUUUUUGAUCCUUUAGUGUUGGCUCUUCCUAUCAUUGUGAAGCAAAAUUCAUCAAGUGUUGGAUUGUUCACCAACCAUAAGGAAUAUGAGCUAGGUUUAGACUUUCCUAAGAUAGGUUAGUUUUACCCUAUUGAUGGUAACAUCACAAUAGUAAUUCAAUCUAGUAUGAGAGGAACCAUUGAUUCAUAUAAUUGAUCAUCUUGAUUGGUUGAAAAACUAGUGGCACAAAGCUAUCAUGCACUAUAUUAUGACUGACAGCCUCUAAGUCAGAAUACAAGCUAGAAAUGAUGCAUGCACCCGCCACCCAAUUACCGACCUAUAGUAAGGGCCCAUAGCCCCUAAGGGCAUGUCUUGUAGGUGCAACCCCUAGAGUGAACAAGCCAUAUGGACCUUCUUGGAGCUCAAUUCCCAUCGAGUGGUGGAAAAAAUCUUUUAUAGAUGACUUAAAUACGUGAUAAGGUAUUGUAAGUGGCAAAGUGGCUUUGUUACCAUGAUCCAUUGAGACUCAACACU
rnacentral:rRNA from 1 species